UACGGCCGGAUCACGUUGAAUCACCGGUUCUCGUCCAAUCACAGAAGUUAAGCAACGUCGAGUUUCGUCAGUACCUAGAUUAGUAACGUCCUGGAAAUAUCACGUGCUGUAGG